rfam:Operophtera brumata OBRT01_Sc02419, whole genome shotgun sequence.
CGUUCUGUUGCCGAAUUGGUAAAGGCAUCGCCGAUCACAGGCGAGGGUGCGGGUUCGAGUCCCGCUGGAACGA